rnacentral:rRNA from 1 species
AGUGAACGCUGGCGGUAGGCCUAACACAUGCAAGUCGAACGGCAGCACAGUAAUAGCUUGCUCUUACGGGUGGCGAGUGGCGGACGGGUGAGUAAUACACUGGACUCUCCUUUUUCGUGGGGGUUAACGUAGGGAUACUUACGCCUAUACUUCUUAAUACAUACCGUUGUAAGCAUGGGAACUUUGUACCCUGUGCGAUUGAACGAUCCGACGUCGGAUUAGCUAGUUGGCGGGGUAAAGGACCACCAAGGCGACGAUCCGUAGCUGGUCUGAGAGGAUGAUCAGCCACACUGGAACUGAGAAACGGUCCAGACUCCUACGGGAGGCAGCAGUGGGGAAUAUUGGACAAUGGGCGCAAGCCUGAUCCAGCCAUACCGCGUGGGUGAAGAAGGCCUUCGGGUUGUAAGACCCUUUUGUUGGGAAAGAAAAGCAGCAGGUUAAUACCCCGCUGUUCUGACGGUACCCAAAGAAUAAGCACCGGCUAACUUCGUG